GAUGAACGCUGGCGGCGUGCCUAAUACAUGCAAGUCGAGCGAACGGACGAGAAGCUUGCUUCUCUGAUGUUAGCGGCGGACGGGUGAGUAACACGUGGAUAACCUACCUAUAAGACUGGGAUAACUUCGGGAAACCGGAGCUACUACCGGAUAAUAUUUUGAACCGCAUGGUUCAAAAGUGAAAGACGGUCUUGCUGUCACUUAUAGAUGGAUCCGCGCUGCAUUAGCUAGUUGGUAAGGUAACGGCUUACCAAGGCAACGAUGCAUAGCCGACCUGAGAGGGUGAGCGGCCACACUGGAACUGAGACACGGUCCAGACUCCUACGGGAGGCAGCAGUAGGGAAUCUUCCGCAAUGGGCGAAAGCCUGACGGAGCAACGCCGCGUGAGUGAUGAAGGUCGUCGGAUCGUAAAACUCUGUUAUUAGGGAAGAACAUAUGUGUAAGUAACUGUGCACAUCUUGACGGUACCUAAUCAGAAAGCCACGGCUAACUACGUG
rnacentral:rRNA from 1 species